rnacentral:rRNA from 1 species
AGCGAACGCUGGCGGCGUGCUUAACACAUGCAAGUCGCGCGGGAAAGAGACUUUCGGUCUUGAGUAGAGCGGCGGACGGGUGCGUAAGACGCGGGUGACCUAUCCGAGAGGCGGGGAUAACCCAGCGAAAGCGGGGCUAAUACCGGAUGAGCCCCCAGGCGGAAACGCGCGGGGGCGAAAGGAUGCUACUCGAUAGUGGCAUGUCCUCACGGAGGGGCCCACGGCCUAUCAGCUAGNGGUGUGGUAACGGCGCACCAAGGCGAAGACGGGUAGCUGGUCUGAGAGGAUGGCCAGCCACACGGGGACUGAGACACGGCCCCGA